rnacentral:lncRNA from 1 species
CGACAAUGAGUGUGUGUGUUAGUUUAAAACUUUUCUCACUCAUGUUACGAAUCAGACCCAUAGAAAAUGUGUUUAUCUCAAUAUAACAAGAAUAGACAAGAAGGUGAUAAAAAAAGAAAAAAAAAACAAAAACAAGAAUAGACAAGAAUAAAUUCUAAGAUCAUACUAAUGACUGUAAUACACAAAACAUAUUGUAAAUUUGAAUGCAAUUUCGAGAUUCUACAACAAGAGUCUCCUACGCUCAUCACAAACGUAAUAUGAUUAUACACAUCCAUGAUCG